CCUUUAGAUGUUCUGGGCUGCACGCGCGCUACACUGGUGCGUUCAGCGAGUUUAGCACCUUAACAGAUAUGUUUGGGUAAUCUUCUGAAAACGCACCGUGAUGGGGAUCGAUUAUUGUAAUUAUUAAUCGUCAACGAGGAAUUCCUAGUAAGUGUGAAUCAUCAGUUCGCGCUGAUUACGUCCCUGCCCUUUGUACACACCGCCCGUCGCUGCUACCGAUUGAGUGGUCCGGUGAAUUAUUCGGACCGGUGGACUGUGGGGAAACCCGCGGCCUGCUGGGAAGUCUUGUGAACCUUAUCACUUAGAGGAAGCAGAAGUCGUAACA
rnacentral:rRNA from 1 species